GGAUUUCCGUGAACUCACCUAGGAAAAAACCUGUAAAAUUUAGCCAAUGGGAGCAACGUGUGGGCGGGGCUUGGUAUUGGAAUGAGAAAGAGAGAAAAGCAGUUUCUGUCGGACCGGUUAGUGACCCCGUGUGAAACAUCACGAAACAGUUUGUUUCACUUCAGAAGAAGAAAGAAGAUAAAACCAGAGAAGAAGAAGAAGUCUGAUUGUGUAGAGAAACCACAGAUUGAGGAAGAAGACGCAGAAACACCUCCUGCCUCUGAACAGCUCUCUUGCCCUGACUGAUUGGUUGAUUGGUCAGUUUUAGCCCCGCCCUCCUGUGACGCUCCAUCAUGUCAUCAAACAUCAACGUCUCCCUGGACAACCCAUACGGUCAGGUGACCAUCCCACGGGCUAAGCUCCACCACCCUGAUGACACUGCCACAGUGAUAGCCAAUCCGGUGGCUCUGAGCGGUAAUGACGGGAACCCAUAUGGUGUGUCGAGCUCCGCCCCCCCACCACCUUAUAUGGUGAAGGAAGAUGGAGGGGGGGAGGAGGAGGGAGGAGGGAAGUGCCGUGCUUGUUGCUAUCGCUGCAGGAGGAGGAAGUGAUCUCACUGUGGCAUGAGUUGGCAUCACAGUGACAGGACGUGAUGUCACAGCAUCAGGAGGACUGUGAUUGGCUUGAAAUGUCAAAGGAUGGAAGGACAGGAAACAAAGACACAAUUCAAAAGGUGAAAAUGAAAGGAAGGAAGGAAGGAAGGGAGGAAGUUGUUUUAUCUGUGACGGCCAUUUUGUGUCAGUUAAACAUUAAAAAGCAAAACCUGUGUCAACUUCCUGUUUGUUAAAUCAAAACCUAAAAAUAUAAAAAUUAUUUAAAAAAUGAUUCAAGCUCAAAGUCCACUUACUGAAAUAUUUCUGAAGCUCAGCGGGUUCCACUCUGAAGAAGGCCAUGGGAUCCAGCUGAAAGCUACAAGAAUUACUAGGAGUUGAUGCUUUAUACAAACAUAUGAUCAUGAGAAUAUAUAAUGAUAAUAAUUAUGAUAUGAUCUAAAGCUGGUUUUGUUACAUUUUUACAUUGAAAAAAGAGAAAAGUUUAUUUUUGAUGUUUCAAAACCGAAAAAACUGACAGAAAAAGAUCAAUAAUCAAUGACAUAUUUAUUGAUCUGUGAGCAGAUUAGACAUAAAAUGGCCGCUGCAUGAUGUAACAUGGAUUUCAUCGUUAAUGUGGAAGUGACUCCAUUAAACUAAAUAUUCAGUUUUUUUUACUGUUCACAUGAAUGAAUGAACAAACGGAUGAAAUAAUGAAUGAAUGAAUGAAUG